rnacentral:rRNA from 1 species
AACGAACGCUGGCGGCAUGCCUAAUACAUGCAAGUCGAACGAGAUCUUUGGAUCUAGUGGCGCACGGGUGCGUAACCCGUGGGAAUCUGCCCUUUGGUUCCGAAUAACUUCUUGAAACGGAAGCUAAUACCGGAUUAUGACGGAAGUCCAAAGAUUUAUCGCCCAAGGAUGAGCCCGCGUAGGAUUAGGUAGUUGGUGAGGUAAAGGCUCACCAAGCCGACGAUCCUUAGCUGGUCUGAGAGGAUGAUCAGCCACACUGGGACUGAGACACGGCCCAGACUCCUACGGGAGGCAGCAGUAGGGAAUAUUGGACAAUGGGCGAAAGCCUGAUCCAGCAAUGCCGCGUGAGUGAUGAAGGCCUUAGGGUUGUAAAGCUCUUUUACCCGGGAUGAUAAUGACAGUACCGGGAGAAUAAGCUCCGGCUAACUCCGUG